rnacentral:rRNA from 1 species
GACGAACGCUUGCGACGUGCCUAAGAAAUGCAAGUCGAACGGGGGAGCAAUCCCUAGUGGCGAACGGUCGCGUAACACGUGGGCAACCUGCCCUGAAGCGGGGGACAACAAGUCGAAAGAUUUGCUAAUACCGCAUGUGUCUCGCUGUGGCAUCACAGAGGAGACAAAGCCGCAAGGCACUUCAGGAUGGGCCCGCGGCCUAUCAGCUUGUUGGUGAGGUAACGGCCCACCAAGGCUUCGACGGGUAGCUGGUCUGAGAGGACGAUCAGCCGGAUUGGGACUGAGAUACGGCCCCAGACUCCGUACGGGGGGCAGCAAUUAGGAAUCUUGCACAAUGGGCGAAAGCCUGAUGCAGCGACGUCGCGUGAAGGAU